AUUGAACGCUGGCGGCAUGCCUUACACUUGCAAGUCGAACGGCAGCACGGGGCAACCUGGUGGCGAGUGGCGAACGGGUGAGUAAUGCAUCGGAACGUACCUUUCAGUGGGGGAUAACGUAGCGAAAGUUACGCUAAUACCGCAUAUUCUGUGAGCAGGAAAGCAGGGGAUCGCAAGACCUUGCGCUGAUUGAGCGGCCGAUGUCAGAUUAGCUAGUUGGUGAGGUAGAGGCUCACCAAGGCGACGAUCUGUAGCGGGUCAGAGAGGAUGAUCCGCCACACUGGAACUGAGACACGGUCCAGACUCCUACGGGAGGCAGCAGUGGGGAAUUUUGGACAAUGGGGGCAACCCUGAUCCAGCCAUGCCGCGUGAGUGAAGAAGGCCUUCGGGUUGUAAAGCUCUUUCGGCCGGGAAGAAAUCGCACGGGCUAAUACCCUGUGUGGAUGACGGUACCGGAAUAAGAAGCACCGGCUAACUACGUGCCAGCCGCCGCCGUAAGAC
rnacentral:rRNA from 1 species